rnacentral:rRNA from 1 species
UACGAAGGGGGCUAGCGUUGCUCGGAAUCACUGGGCGUAAAGCGCACGUAGGCGGCUUUUUAAGUCAGGGGUGAAAUCCUGGAGCUCAACUCCAGAACUGCCUUUUGAUACUGAGAAGCUUGAGUUCGGGAGAGGUGAGUGGAACUGCGAGUGUAGAGGUGAAAUUCGUAGAUAUUCGCAAGAACACCAGUGGCGAAGGCGGCUCACUGGCCCGAUACUGACGCUGAGGUGCGAAAGCGUGGGGAGCAAAGCAGG